UUAGAAAUCCUGUAACCAACAAUCUCAGUCAUGAAGAUCGCAGCAGCUUUCCUGCUUGUGGGCGCCUGCCUUGUUUCCACAAAUGCAUAUGGUAUCAAAAAUAGACAAUUGUCGGAACGUGAUGCACAUUCUCAUGGUCGUAUGAUGGCGUUUGUACUGAAAAGAUGGGG